GUAAGUAAGCACAUACGCCGCGCUCUCACUAUAUAAAGAAGAAUCCCGGGUUUGUCAAAUUAGUUCUCUCACAGGAAUCAAACAGUAAACAUGUUCAAGGUUAUUCUUGCCUCUGCCCUGGUUGCUGCUGUUGCUGCUAUCCCUGCCAACCCUGGCUAUGGAGCACCUGCCCCUUAUCAGGAGGAGAAGCUGGCCCCUCAGCCCUUUGCCUACCAAUAUGGAGUAAAUGAUGACUACAGCAAGGCUAACUUCCAGAAGGAAGAGAACCAGGAUGCCUACGGUAAUGUUGCUGGAUCUUACACCAUUGCCCUUCCCGACGGAAGGAUCCAGACCACCAGAUACACUGCCACCCAUGAAGAUGGAUUCAUCGCUGAUGUUUCUUACGAGGGAGUUCCCCAGUACCCCGCAGAGAAGGCUUAUGCCCCUAAGGCUGCCCCUGCCUACGCUCCCGCCCCUGCCUAUGCCCCUGCCCCUGCCUACCAUGCUUAAGAGGAUGAAGAAAUAGUGAAAAUAUUUAUCUAUUUAUUUCAUCUAAUAAAACAUUAAAUCCUUUAAUAUUUAUGCUUGUGUUUUUGUAAUUAUCAGUGGGAAGUUCCGUAAACAAACAAAGUAUUUUAGAAAAAUAAAAGUCAAUUAAUGGGGUCACCACUUUA